UACAGAGACUGCAAGCGUUAUUCGGAUUCACUGGGCGUAAAGGGUGCGCAGGCGGUUGGGUGUGUCAGAUGUGAAAUCCCGAGGCUUGACCUCGGAACUGCGUCUGAAACUACUCGACUAGAGUACUGGAGAGGGUAACGGAAUUCACGGUGUAGCAGUGAAAUGCGUAGAUAUCGUGAGGAACACCAGAGGCGAAGGCGGUUACCUGGACAGUUACUGACGCUCAGGCACGAAAGCAUGGGGAGCAAAAGGG
rnacentral:rRNA from 1 species